CAGAUCAUUCCAAUGACCUCAAGCAGCAAUAAUUCCAUAUUGUUUCUUUGAUGUUUCACAUUAGUGUUGAAAUUGAAAUGGCAUCCAAAGCCUUCUGUGGGAUCAAGAUUGCCACAGAAAAAGAGCUGCACACAACGCCAAGUACAACAGAUUGGGUUGUAACAAUAAUGCUUCAGGAGCCUUAAUAUUUCUUUAAUUGCUUAGACAUCACUUUACCCUGAAGCGAUUUUCUCAUGUGGUGCAUGAAUAGGCAUCAAAUUUGUGAGAAAAUAUCUCAUGCGUCAUCAUAGCGCACAAUAUAGUUACUGUUAUGUGUUUUCGCUGCAGCCUCCAAUCAGUAUGGAGAUAUUUGUUAUUCUGAAAAGGAGACACCAAUCUCUGCAUUGGCAUAUGUAAUUGAUGGUAGGAUAUUCUGGUAUUGUCCUGUUGAAAAUACCAAUGAGCAUAUAGGAUAUUUUUUGGAGUUUCAAUAAAUUUUUAAACUUCUUUUAGAUAUUAAUAUGAUUUUGGGGAAUUCUACACUGAACUGUUGGAUCAUUGUCGUGCAGGUUCGCACUCUUGUUGGAUCAUAAUUAAAUGGAACUUAGUACCAAAACGUGAUCUGUAUAAUUGGUAAUGUAGUUCUAGCAUUGAUCUUCAUUUAUAUUAUUCAGAGGCCAUGAUGUUAUAUUUGGCGCUAUGUGGAAGCAAAAUUAAAUAGAAAUCAGUAGCAAAACAGGAGGUCUUUAUUGAAAAAGCAAAACAGGAGGUUCAUAAUUGUUAAUGAAACAGUCUUAAUUUACGUUACAAAGUGCCCCGUGUUGUUGUUUUCUGCAUACUAUCUUUGUGUUGUAUAGCAUAACCUAGAUUUUUUAGUUCUCAAUCGGUGGCUAUGGAUUACAAAAAUAUUGUUCAUGUCUAAACAUUGAACUUUGUUAUAGUUUUGUUGCUACCAUGGACUUCUCAUCUUCUAUUCCAUUACUCACCAGAUCUUUAAUUACAUAUGAAUCAUGCACUGGGUCUUGAUCAGCUAUAGCAGCAGUCCUCACUGGAGAGAAGAGUUGACCACAAGGCCAUAAUAGUAGCCCAUUCACUAAAUUCUGGUUCAAGGACAUUCUGAUCAUAUGGAUGUGUGCAUCUUGGUGUAGUUCUUCUUGGCCAUCUUUGUAGCAGAGACAUAUUUUCCGUUGUCGGAAAGUGCAUAGGACAAUGGAUUCAAUUUUGCUCCUUGUGGUGUGGGAAGAGCAGACAUGGUGCUCCCUGAAAUGCCUGCAAGCCAUAAUAUUGACCUUGCUACCGUCGGCGACACGAACACGAGUUCAGGACUUCAAGAGGGGAAUUAGGGAUUGGCCAAGAGCGUGAGUCUUGAGACAUAGACAUCAGGAGAACAACUGCAAGAAAUACCGAGGGUGAGCAGUUUCGA